AACGAACGCUGGCGGCAGGCCUAACACAUGCAAGUCGAACGAAGUCUUCGGACUUAGUGGCGCACGGGUGAGUAACACGGGGGAAUAUACCUUACGCUGUGGGAUAACAUCGGGAAACUGAUGCUAAUACCGCAUACGCCCUUCGGGGGAAAGAGUUAUCGGCGUAAGAUUAGCCCGCGUCCGAUUAGCUAGUUGGUGAGGUAAUGGCGCACCAAGGCUCCGAUCGGUAGCUGGUCUGAGAGGAUGACCAGCCACACUGGGACUGAGACACGGCCCAGAAUCUUACGGGAGGCAGCAGUGGGGAAUAUUGGACAAUGGGCGCAGGCAUGAUCCAGCCAGGCCGCGUGAGUGAUGAAGGCCGUAGGGUAGUAAAGCUCUUUCACCCACGACGAUGAUGACGGUAGUGGGAGAAGAAGCCCCGGCUAACUUCGUG
rnacentral:rRNA from 1 species